rnacentral:rRNA from 1 species
AUGGAGCCCAAGCCGCCCACGUCCUCGGAGGAGGAGGCGGCGGCGGGGCCGACGACCCCUCGGUUCAGGCUCGGGAAGCAGUCGUCCCUGGCGCCCAGCCGCGGCGGUGAAAACGGCGCCGAGGUGUCGGGGGAGGCCGCCGGCGUCGCCAGCUUCCAGAUGAUGUACCUGGCCCACGAGGGCAACGCGGAGGGGAUACGCGAGCUCCUCGACGCCGGCGCCGACCCCAACUUCCGCGACUCCGACGGCCGCACGGCGCUGCAUAUCUCCGCCUGCGAGGGCCACGCCGAGGUCGUCGCUCUGCUGCUCGACCGCGGCGCGGAGGCCGUCGUCGAGGACCAGUGGGGAAGCACGCCUUUGGCAGAUGCGAUGCAUUACCAGAACCAUGAUGUUAUCAAGAUCUUGGAGAAGCAUGACUCGAACCAUAAGGUUGCUCCUAUGCAUGUUAACAGUGAUCGUGAUGUUCCUGAAUACGAGAUUGAUCCGGACGAACUUGACUUCACAAAUGGCAAAGAUUUAGCUAAGGGUACAUUUCGGAAAGCAACAUGGAGGGGCAUUCUGGUUGCUGUUAAAAAGCUGGAUGAUGAUGUACUUACUGACGAGAACAAAGUACAAGCAUUCAGAGAUGAGCUUGACGUUCUGCAACUAAUACGGCAUCCAAAUGUCGUUCAAUUUCUGGGCGCUGUAACACAAACCAACCCAAUGAUGAUUGUCAUGGAAUUUAUGCCGAAGGGUGAUUUGCGCAAACACUUGAAUAGGAAAGGAGCUCUGGAACCUUUGUAUGCAGUUAAAUUAGCUCUUGAUAUUGCAAGAGGAAUGAGUUACUUACAUGAGCAUAAACCCCAAGCUAUCAUCCACCGUGACCUUGAGCCUUCAAACAUAUUGAGGGAUGACACUGGGCAUCUGAAGGUGGCAGAUUUUGAUUUGUGUAAGAUGCUAAAGUGGAGAAGAAAAGUCAGAGAGGACAAACCAGUUACUUCUCCUGGCAAUGCCUGUAGGUAUGUAGCUCCAGAAGUCCUGCGUAAAGAGGAGUAUGAUAAUAAAGUUGAUGUCUUCUCAUUCGCUUUGAUACUUCAGGAGAUGAUUGAAGGAUGCCUGCCUUUUCACGAUAAGAAAAUUGAUGAAAUUGAGAAGGCCCAUAGUUCUAAAGAAAGGCCACCGUUUAGAGCUCCUGCAAAGCAUUAUGCCUACGGGCUAAGAGAGUUGAUUGAGAAAUGCUGGAGUGAAAAUCCUGCUGAUAGGCCCAAUUUUAGAGUUGUCAUUGAUCGGUUGUCUGCCAUCCAAAUUGAACUAGCUCGCAGAAACCGUUGGAAGGUCAGACCUCUCAAGUGUUUCCUUAGCUUCGAAGGUUUGCGGAAAAAGGAUCGCAAUGAGGGCAGCACCAACCGUUCGUCACGCUCGUCGCGAUAG